AGUAGUUUGAUCAGUGGCUACGAGGACGACGCUGGCGGUGUGCUUCACACAUGCAAGUCGAACGAGGUAGCAAUACCUAGUGGCGGACGGGUGAGUAACGCGUGGGAAUCUGCCUUUAGAUGGGGGAUAACGGGUCGAAAGACUCGCUAAUACCGCAUAUGACGAAAGUUGAAAGGAGUAAUCCGUCUAAAGAUGAGCCCGCGUCCGAUUAGCUAGUUGGUAGAGUAAAAGCCUACCAAGGCGACGAUCGGUAGCUGGUCUGAGAGGAUGAUCAGCCACAAUGGGACUGAGACACGGCCCAUACUCCUACGGGAGGCAGCAGUGGGGAAUUUUACGCAAUGGGCGAAAGCCUGACGUAGCGACACCGCGUGAGCGAAGAAGCCCCUUGGGGUGUAAAGCUCUGUCAGCUGGAACGAAAAAAUGACGGUACCAGCAGAGGAAGCAUCGGCUAACUACGUG
rnacentral:rRNA from 1 species